rnacentral:rRNA from 1 species
GAUGAACGCUAGCGGCAGGCCUAAUACAUGCAAGUCGAACGAUACCAGAGAGCUUGCUUUCUGGGAAAGUGGCGCACGGGUGCGUAACGCGUAUGCAACCUACCUUAAUCAGGGGGAUAGCCUCUCGAAAGAGAGAUUAACACCGCAUAACAUCAUUUUACGGCAUCGUAGAAUGAUCAAAUAUUUAUAGGAUUAGGAUGGGCAUGCGUGACAUUAGCUAGUUGGUGAGGUAACGGCUCACCAAGGCUACGAUGUCUAGGGGAUCUGAGAGGAUGACCCCCCACACUGGUACGGAGACGCGGACCAGACUCCUACGGGAGGCAGCAGUAAGGAAUAUUGGUCAAUGGAGGCAACUCUGAACCAGCCAUGCCGCGUGCAGGAAGACGGCCCUAUGGGUUGUAAACUGCUUUUAUACGGGAAUAAACCUCUCUACGUGUAGGGAGUUGAAUGUACUGUAAGAAUAAGGAUCGGCUAACUCCGUGCCAGCCGCCGCAGUAA